rnacentral:rRNA from 1 species
UACGUAGGGGGCAAGCGUUGUCCGGAUUUAUUGGGCGUAAAGAGCGUGUAGGCGGCCAAGCAGGUCAGCUGUGAAAACUCGAGGCUCAACCUCGAGACGUCGGUUGAAACCGCUUGGCUAGAGUCCGGAAGAGGAGAGUGGAAUUCCCGGUGUAGCGGUGAAAUGCGCAGAUAUCAGGAGGAACACCAAUAGCGAAGGCAGCUCGCUGGGACGUUACUGACACUGAGGCGCGAAAGCGUGGGGAGCGAACAGG